UUUCCCUCUGCAGAGGGACGGUACACGCGAUAAGAUCAUUUGCUAACCUUUGACCAGCGCGCCGCGGCUUCCUCGGUUUUUAAGCUCUUUGAUUGCAGAUAACGGGCGAACCUGGCGCUUUUAACUUUGGAGCGCCGUCGCCAAAUAGAUCGGGCUUCGGUUGUGCCUUCUACCAUUGUUAGUCGCUCUGAUUUCUCCUGAAGGAAGGAGGAAUGUAGCCUAAUGGAAGUCUGCUAUGAUUAGUAUUUGCAAAUGCUAACCAUUGCUGGGGGGGCAAAGGAAACUUUGCAAGGGCGUUUAUUCUCGCCUGCAAACCACAACGAUCAAGUAAUUUCCAAAGGGGGGGGGAACUGUUGGUAUUCAGGGGGUCGGGAGUUUUGAAUGUCCGCAUCAAAGCCGUUUCACUGACGGUUUCUCUGACGGGGAGGGCGGACAGUCCCCUCGCAUGGUUCUGAAACAGGUUCGAAGCGUUAUUCGCUUCUUAGGCUGGGAAGCUUUGGGUCUCUAGCAGGCCCCGGGGGGCGCCACGGGGGCUUCAGUUUGCUACGGGAAUGGAUGCAUUUCGGAUGCUGCGUUUCCACGAGAGAAGGAAGGGGGAAAACAGAAGGCGGGAGGAAGGAAAGAAUGGCUGGGAGAGUUAGAAAUAAAGAGCAAAAACGGAACGAGGAACGAGGAAGGAAGGCCGGCAAACAGAAAGGGAAUUGGGGCGGCGUUGCUUCCUCCCUGUCGUCCGCCGCUUAAAGGAGGGCCNCUCGGAUCUCCUCGCCAGGGCUGGACCGUCAGAGAGCAAACUCGACCAGGGACUGUGCGACAGAGCCGCGUGCGGGCACCCCCGCACGGACUCCGGACUUGCCAAAGCCGGUGUCCCCUCGGCAUCCCCCCCUCCUUCACCCGGGAAGAGCUAAAGGAAGCUGCCGCCGCGCUGGCCGUGGUCGACAGGACUGCCAAGUCUCCGUCGUGACUGCAAACGGAUUGGGCUCCGCGCGUGAAUAACGCGCAGGGGUCCAGACUUCUCCUCUCGGGGUAAACAAAAGAAGUGGAGUUCCCCCCAGGGAUCAGUUGAAAGUUAAAGCGGAG
rnacentral:lncRNA from 1 species